AACGAACGCUGGCGGCAUGCCUAACACAUGCAAGUCGAACGAGACCUUCGGGUCUAGUGGCGCACGGGUGCGUAACGCGUGGGAACCUGCCCUUAGGUUCGGAAUAACUCUCCGAAAGGGGUGCUAAUACCGGAUAAUGUCUUCGGACCAAAGAUUUAUCGCCUUUGGAUGGGCCCGCGUUGGAUUAGCUAGUUGGUAGGGUAAAAGCCUACUAAGGCGACGAUCCAUAGCUGGUCUGAGAGGAUGAUCAGCCACACUGGGACUGAGACACGGCCCAGACUCCUACGGGAGGCAGCAGUGGGGAAUAUUGGACAAUGGGCGAAAGCCUGAUCCAGCAAUGCCGCGUGAGUGAUGAAGGCCUUAGGGUUGUAAAGCUCUUUUACCCGGGAUGAUAAUGACAGUACCGGGAGAAUAAGCUCCGGCUAACUCCGUG
rnacentral:rRNA from 1 species